rnacentral:rRNA from 1 species
ACGGGACCGCACAGCGGUGGAUGAUGUGGAUUAAUUCGAUGCAACGACGAAAACCUUACCUACCCUUGACAUGUCUGGAACCUUGCUGAGAGGCGAGGGUGCCUUCGGGAGCCAGAACACAGGUGCUGCAUGGCUGUCGUCAGCUCGUGUCGUGAGAUGUUGGGUUAAGUCCCGCAACGAGCGCAACCCUUGUCAUUUAGUUGCCAUCAUUUAGUUGGGCACUCUAAUGAGACUGCCGGUGACAAACCGGAGGAAGGUGGGGAUGACGUCAAGUCCUCAUGGCCCUUAUGGGUAGGGCUUCACACGUCAUACAAUGGUCGGUACAGAGGGUUGCCAAGCCGCGAGGUGGAGCCAAUCCCCCAAAGCCGGCCUCAGUUCAGAUUGCAGGCUGCAACUCGCCUGCAUGAAGCUGGAGUUGCUAGUAAACGCGCGUCAGCUAUAGUGCGUUGAAUACGUUCUCGGGCCUU